rnacentral:rRNA from 1 species
GACGAACGCUGGCGGCGUGCCUAACACAUGCAAGUCGAGCGGGGAGAGAUUUUCGGAUUUCUCUUUAGCGGCGGACGGGUGAGUAACACGUGGGUAACCUGCCUCAAAGAGGGGGAUAGCCUUCCGAAAGGAAGAUUAAUACCGCAUUAUAUCAGGAAGCUGCAUGGCAUUCUGAUUAAAGGAGCAAUCCGCUUUGAGAUGGACCCGCGGCGCAUUAGCUAGUGGGUGAGGUAACGGCCCACCAAGGCGACGAUGCGUAGCCGAACUGAGGGGGUGAUCGGCAACAUUGGAACUGGGACCCGGUCCAGACCCCUACGGGAGGCAGCAGUGGGGAAUAUUGCACAAUGGGGGAAACCCUGAUGCAGCAACGCCGCGUGAGUGAUGAAGGCCUUCGGGUCGUAAAGCUCUUUGAUCAGGGACGAUAAUGACGGUACCUGAAAAACAAGCCACGGCUAACUACGUGCCAGCCGCCGCAGUAAGAC